rnacentral:lncRNA from 1 species
UUUUCUAUUAUCAAAUCAUCAUAUCUAAGUACCUCUCGAGCUGACGGAACAUGAAAAUGUUAAUCUGAUUAGUGUGUAUGAGACUUGCUUGGUUUCAGCCUAAACCCCUUACUGUAACACACAGUUUUUCUUAUUCAAAAUUGAAAGUGCUUAUUUUUUAACCUAAACUUUUUCUACAAUCAAAUAAUCAUUUCUCAGUACCUCUCGAGUUAACUGAACAUGAAUAUCUUAAUCCAUAUUGUAUAGGAUUUCCACUUGAUUUCGGUCAAAAAAACCCUUACUAUAGCACACGGUUUUUCUGGUCAAAAUUGAAAGUUCUUAUUUUUGAACCAAACUUUUACUAUUAUCAAAUCAUCAUUUCUAAGUACAUCUCGAGCUGACGGAACAGGAAAAUCUUAAUCCCAUUAGUGUAUAGGAUUUCCACUUGGUUUCGGUCCAAAAACUCUUGCUAUCACACGGUUUUUCUGGUCAAAAUUGAAGGUUCUUAUUUUUGAACUUUUUCUAUUAUCAAAUCAUCAUUUCUAAGUACCUCUCGAGCCGACGGAACAUGAAAAUGUAAUCUGAUUACUGUGUAUGAGACUUGCUUGGUUUCAGCCUAAACCCCUUACUGUAACACAUGGUUUUUCUGAUCAAAAUUGAAGGUUCUUAAUUUUUAACCAAACUUUUUCUAUUAUCAAAUCAUCAUUUCUAAGUACCUCCUGAGUUGACGGAACAGGAAAAUUUUAAUUCCAUUAGUGUCUAGGAUUUCCGCUUGAUUUCGGUCGAAAAACCCUUGCAAUAGCACACGGUUUUUCUGGUCAAAAUUGAAAGUUCUUAUUUUUCAACCAAACUUUUUCUGUUCUUAUUUUUCAACCAAACUUUUUCUAUUAUUAAAUUAUCAUUUCUAAGUACCUCUCGAGCUGACGGAACACGUAAAUGUUAAUCCCAUUAGUGUAUACGAUCGAGUUCCGCUUGAUUUCGACCCAAUACCCCUUGCUAUAGCACAUGGUUUUUCUUGUCCAAAUCGAAUAUUCUUAUUUUUGAACCAAACUUUUUCUAUUAUCAAAUCAUCAUUUCUAAGUACCCUCGAGCUGACGGAACACGAAAAUCUUAAUCCCAUUAGUGUAUACGAGUUCCGCUUGAUUUCAACCCAAAACCCUUUUCAUAUAGCACACGGUUUUUCUGGUCAAAAUUGAAGGUUCUUAUUUUUUAACCAAACUUUUCCUAUUAUCAAAUCAUCAUUUCUAAAUACCUCUCGAGCUCACGGAACACGAAAAUCUUAAUCCCAUUAGUGUAUACGAUUUCCACUUGAUUUGGGUCCAAAACCUUUUGCACACGGUUUUUUCGGUCAAAAUUGAAUAUUCUAAUUUUUGAACCAACCUUUUCUAUUAUCAAAUCAUCAUUUCUAUGUAUCUCUCGAGCUGACCAAAUGCGAAAAUCUUAUUCCAAUCAAUGUGUAUGAGACUUACUUAAUAUCAUCCUAAAACCUCUUGCCACACGGUUUUUUUGUCAAACUUGAAUGUUGUUAUUUUUGUACCAAACCUUUUCUCUUAUUAAAUCAUCAUUUAUAAGUAUCAUUCGAGCUGACGGAACGCGAAAAUUUUAAUCUGAUUAGUGUAUUCGUGUUCCGCUUAAUUUCGGCCUAAUACCCGUUGCCGCACACAGUUCAUCCGGUCAAAAUUGAAUGUUCUUAUUUUGAACCAAACAUUUUCUAUUAUCAAAUCAUCAUAUCUAAGUACCUCUCGAGGUGACGGAACGCGAAAAUCUUAAUUCGAUUAGUGUAUAUGAGACUUGCUUGAUAUCAUCCUAAAACCUAUUUUUAUAGCACACGGUUUUUUCAAUCAAAAUUGAAUGUUUUUAUUUUGGAACCAAACUUUUUCUUUUAUCAAAUUAUCAUUUUUAGAUACUUCUCUAAUUGACCGAACGUGAAAAAUCUCUAUCGUAUUAGUGUAUAUGUGUUUCACUUAAUUUCAGCCCAAAACUUCUUGCUAUAUCACACAGUUUUUUUUGUAAAG